rnacentral:rRNA from 1 species
UACGUAGGGUGCGAGCGUUGUCCGGAAUUAUUGGGCGUAAAGGGCUCGUAGGCGGUCUGUUGCGUCGGGAGUGAAAACUCAGGGCUUAACCCUGAGCCUGCUUCCGAUACGGGCAGACUAGAGGUAUGCAGGGGGAGAACGGAAUUCCUGGUGUAGCGGUGAAAUGCGCAGAUAUCAGGAGGAACACCGGUGGCGAAGGCGGUUCUCUGGGCAUUACCUGACGCUGAGGAGCGAAAGUGUGGGGGAGCGAACAGG